GCUCGCUUCUUCAGCUCAUAUAAGGUAAAAGGCAGCGAGGCCUCCGUGGCCAGACAGCCACGGGCAAGGGGCUGAGCAGAGGGGGGUCCCAUGCCAGUUGCUUAAAAAUGCCCCCCGUAGCAUCAAGAGGUGCCAGCCGAGUCAACUUAGGUGAGAAGCAGUGACACCCACAACCAUACCUCAAAUAGGGUGAGCCUCCACCUCCGAAGAGUCAUUCCUGGGCCAGACAACAGCCAAGGCAAGAGUGAUGGCUAGUAGGAUCCCCCGCCACACAGGAGAAUGACGUGCUUGUGAGAGAAAUCCUCCCAAGAGCCAGGAAAGGGACGGCGGUGGCAGCCCUGCUCCCAGAGCUAACUGAGCUUCCCAAAUGACAGAAGCCAGAGAGUCCCCAGUCUGGAGACAUUUUCUGAAGAUGUGGGGAAAGGGAAAAAAGCGGGCUGUCCCCAGCACCAGGCCUCCAAGGGCCGAGAGACAACACCCAAGAGCACCAGGUGAUUUCCUCCCCCUCAACCUCGAAUGCUCUGCAAGGGCAGGGACUAUACUGAGGCUGUGUUAGCCCCAAGUGCAAGGACAUAAUCCCGAGCACACAGAAGUGAUGAGUCUGCUGAAUGAGCCAGCACAACUAUGAGACCCUGCCCUAAACCCAGAGGACUAAGAAACCUCAGGCACGGAGGUUAAGGCGAGGGGCCAGGCCCUGCUGCUAUGAGUUAAGAAGCCCAGCACGGUACCUUGUACUCUUAUCCCAGGGAAAUUCUAUUUCUCUGGAGUCUUGGAGACCUAUGGGAAUAUAUGUAGUUAAACAUUCGCCAGAUUGAUUACUCUAGAAUCACAGGGACAGAACUGGACAGUCUUUAUCCAAGGAUGGGACAAGGAAGAUGAGGCAAAGCCCUUCCUGGCUGAACACUUGCCUCUUAGUACCGUCUGGCUAUUUACUUCUCCUUAAGAUGGGCCACCCUGUGUCCAGGUCCCAGAGCACA